UUAAGCGACUAAGCGUACACGGUGGAUGCCCUGGCAGUCAGAGGCGAUGAAGGACGUGCUAAUCUGCGAUAAGCGUCGGUGAGGUGAUAUGAACCGUUAUAACCGGCGAUUUCCGAAUGGGGAAACCCAGUGUGUUUCGACACACUAUCAUUAACUGAAUCCAUAGGUUAAUGAGGCGAACCGGGGGAACUGAAACAUCUAAGUACCCCGAGGAAAAGAAAUCAACCGAGAUUCCCCCAGUAGCGGCGAGCGAACGGGGAGGAGCCCAGAGCCUGAAUCAGUGUGUGUGUUAGUGGAAGCGUCUGGAAAGGCGCGCGAUACAGGGUGACAGCCCCGUACACAAAAAUGCACAUAUUGUGAGCUCGAUGAGUAGGGCGGGACACGUGGUAUCCUGUCUGAAUAUGGGGGGACCAUCCUCCAAGGCUAAAUACUCCUGACUGACCGAUAGUGAACCAGUACCGUGAGGGAAAGGCGAAAAGAACCCCGGCGAGGGGAGUGAAAAAGAACCUGAAACCGUGUACGUACAAGCAGUGGGAGCCUCUUAAUGGGGUGACUGCGUACCUUUUGUAUAAUGGGUCAGCGACUUAUAUUCUGUAGCAAGGUUAACCGAAUAGGGGAGCCGAAGGGAAACCGAGUCUUAACUGGGCGUUAAGUUGCAGGGUAUAGACCCGAAACCCGGUGAUCUAGCCAUGGGCAGGUUGAAGGUUGGGUAACACUAACUGGAGGACCGAACCGACUAAUGUUGAAAAAUUAGCGGAUGACUUGUGGCUGGGGGUGAAAGGCCAAUCAAACCGGGAGAUAGCUGGUUCUCCCCGAAAGCUAUUUAGGUAGCGCCUCGUGAAUUCAUCUCCGGGGGUAGAGCACUGUUUCGGCAAGGGGGUCAUCCCGACUUACCAACCCGAUGCAAACUGCGAAUACCGGAGAAUGUUAUCACGGGAGACACACGGCGGGUGCUAACGUCCGUCGUGAAGAGGGAAACAACCCAGACCGCCAGCUAAGGUCCCAAAGUCAUGGUUAAGUGGGAAACGAUGUGGGAAGGCCCAGACAGCCAGGAUGUUGGCUUAGAAGCAGCCAUCAUUUAAAGAAAGCGUAAUAGCUCACUGGUCGAGUCGGCCUGCGCGGAAGAUGUAACGGGGCUAAACCAUGCACCGAAGCUGCGGCAGCGACGCUUAUGCGUUGUUGGGUAGGGGAGCGUUCUGUAAGCCUGUGAAGGUGGCCUGUGAGGGUUGCUGGAGGUAUCAGAAGUGCGAAUGCUGACAUAAGUAACGAUAAAGCGGGUGAAAAGCCCGCUCGCCGGAAGACCAAGGGUUCCUGUCCAACGUUAAUCGGGGCAGGGUGAGUCGACCCCUAAGGCGAGGCCGAAAGGCGUAGUCGAUGGGAAACAGGUUAAUAUUCCUGUACUUGGUGUUACUGCGAAGGGGGGACGGAGAAGGCUAUGUUGGCCGGGCGACGGUUGUCCCGGUUUAAGCGUGUAGGCUGGUUUUCCAGGCAAAUCCGGAAAAUCAAGGCUGAGGCGUGAUGACGAGGCACUACGGUGCUGAAGCGACAAAUGCCCUGCUUCCAGGAAAAGCCUCUAAGCAUCAGGUAACAUCAAAUCGUACCCCAAACCGACACAGGUGGUCAGGUAGAGAAUACCAAGGCGCUUGAGAGAACUCGGGUGAAGGAACUAGGCAAAAUGGUGCCGUAACUUCGGGAGAAGGCACGCUGAUAUGUAGGUGAAGCGACUUGCUCGUGGAGCUGAAAUCAGUCGAAGAUACCAGCUGGCUGCAACUGUUUAUUAAAAACACAGCACUGUGCAAACACGAAAGUGGACGUAUACGGUGUGACGCCUGCCCGGUGCCGGAAGGUUAAUUGAUGGGGUUAGCGGUAACGCGAAGCUCUUGAUCGAAGCCCCGGUAAACGGCGGCCGUAACUAUAACGGUCCUAAGGUAGCGAAAUUCCUUGUCGGGU
rnacentral:rRNA from 1 species